rnacentral:piRNA from 1 species
UNGCUGUAACUCCCCGGACGGCAGCCAUUU